rnacentral:rRNA from 1 species
AUUGAACGCUGGCGGCAGGCCUAACACAUGCAAGUCGAACGAGUGGCGGACGGGUGAGUAAUGGCUGGGAAACUGCCCGAUGGAGGGGGAUAACUACUGGAAACGGUAGCUAAUACCGCAUACACUCGGAUGUGCCCAGAGGGGAUUAGCUAGUAGGUGGGGUAACGGCUCACCUAGGCGACGAUCCAGAGCUGGUCUGUGAGGAUGACCAUCCACACUGGAAAGUAGACACGGUCCAGAGUCCUAAGUGAGGCAGCAGUGGGGAAUAUUGCACAAUGGGCGAAAGCCUGAUGCAGCCAUGCCGCGUGUAUGAAGAAGGCCUUCGGGUUGUAAAGUACUUUCAGCGAGGAUGCGUUACUCGCAGAAGAAGCACCGGCUAACUCCGUGCCAGCAGCCGCGGUAAUAC